UACGGAGGAGGCAAGCGUUAUCCGGAAUUAUUGGGCGUAAAGCGUCCGCAGGUGGCACUUCAAGUCUGUCGUCAAAGACUGGGGCUUAACCCUGGAAGGGCGGUGGAAACUGAAGCGCUAGAGUGCGGUAGGGGUAGAGGGAAUUCCCGGCGUAGCGGUGAAAUGCGCAGAUAUCGGGAGGAACACCAAUUGCGAAGGCAGCUCGCUGGGACGUCACUGACGCUGAGACGCGAAAGCGUGGGGAGCAAACAGG
rnacentral:rRNA from 1 species